rnacentral:tRNA from 1 species
CGCGGGAUGGAGCAGUUCGGAAGCUCGUCGGGCACAUAACCCGAAGGUCGCUGGUACAAAUCCGCCUCCCGCAA